rnacentral:rRNA from 1 species
UACGUAGGGGGCGAGCGUUGUCCGGAAUCAUUGGGCGUAAAGCGCGUGUAGGCGGCGCGGUAAGUCCGGUGUGAAACCUUGGGGCUCAACCCCAAGCCUGCAUCGGAUACUGCCGUGCUCGAGUCCGGGAGAGGAAAGCGGAAUUCCUAGUGUAGCGGUGAAAUGCGCAGAUAUUAGGAAGAACACCUGUGGCGAAGGCGGCUUUCUGGAACGGUACUGACGCUGAGACGCGAAAGCGUGGGGAGCGAACAGG